GAUGAUGGCGCCACUGGUAUAUGCAAAAAUGUGCUACAACCAGUACAAAAACGUUCCCAGGCUGAAGGGAUAACCCACUAACAAAUGAGUGUUUGGGACUGUGUAUUAAAGGUAGAGCUAGUGUUCUGGGCGGCGGAUCGAUUUUUUGGAGCAAUUUCCUCUGUCUGUUAGCCUGUGGAUAUUAUGUCAAACAUCUAUAGUAAGCAACGAGAGUUGCGCAAGAAUCAGCCCCCGACAGAUUCUCAGUGCCGGAUCUAUCUGUGAUUCAGGAGGAGAUCGAAUGGUUGAAGAAUAAAGUACGAUUCACACGAUACAUCAGGCUUCCAUCUUCGAUACGGAACGUCAAGAUUAGUUACAUGCAGUUAAAUGGAGGCAUUUACAUACAACAUAAACGGCACGGAACGUUUUGACGUACGUCACGUGUGAACGGGCACACGAGAAACAUUUAACUAAUCCUGACGGAACGGUGACGUUCCGUUGACGGAUACCGAUGUAUCGUCUGAAUCGUCCUUAAUGAAUCCGCUGGUAAUGGUCAACUGCCAUAUGAGCGGCCCAAACAGAAGAAAGACAUUAGUAAGAACACUCCGCUGGGAAGAUCUGCGAGGAAGAGAUGUUAUCGGAGGGUUGGAUAUUUUAAAUAUAUUUAUAGUUGGGACUAUGGUCGCAUUUGAAAUUAUGGCGCCACUGAUAUACAAUCAUAUGAGGAAUAGAUAACUAGUGAAAAAUUGUUCCCAAGUCUGAGGGAUAAUCCAAUAAGUGUUUGGGACCGUAAAUAAAAGGUGGAGCUAGUGUUCUGGGAAAAUCGCUGGAGGGAACACUUGAAGGAAUUCCCUCAUAGUGUUAUGUCUGUUAGUCUCUGCUAAAAUAUUGAAAUGCACUACACGGUAAACUGGAUAUACCUAGAAAAUUGGUAGUGACGUAGUACCAAAAAAGGAGUACAAAUUACCUAUUAAUAGGUUCCAAUUCCUAUAAUAUUUAUCUAUUUCUCGGUAAUAUUCGUUCACAUUUGAUUAACAAUUACCUAAUUUUAGAUGGUUUCAAGUUACCUACUGGUGGGUAUGUGCAGUUUUGUGGAAUUUAGGUACUAUUUACUUAUGCUGAUUUCGGUUUAAGAUCAGAGUCGCCCUAGGUUCGCCCUAAUAUUUACAAAAUCCAUACAAAAGUGACAGCUCAGAGCGAACCUAGAGCGACUCGAUUCUGAAAAUCAAAUCAACAUUAGGCAUCCAGAAAAGUGCACGAACUUAGAAGUGGGUAUAUUCACUCUACCUAAACUAGGUGAUUACGAAUCAAUUAUAAAUACCUUGUACAUGAAAAAGAAUACAUAUUAUAGAGAUUUCCACCUAUUAGUACAUAUUUUUCGCGCCAAAGUCAUAUGUAAAGUUCAUACCUUACGACUCAAUAGCAUGGCAAUGAACAUUCAAUGGAGAAAUAUGUCAUAUUCACGUAGAAUUUGUUUGAAUUCAAUUUGAAACACCACAUAAAAUGCGUUUUAAUGGUCUUCCAUGCGAAAUUCAAACGAAAAUCAUUGAUUUUACUUUUCAGCAUCUAAACGGACUUGAAAGAGUGUUUAAUUGCCUAUGGUUUUAUCGUUUGGAUUAUUUUCGGUGUAGGUAAAAAAAUUAACAAUCGCGUUGUCAAAUUUAACAAGCAAAUGGGCCUUAUAACAAAAUAUAAUCGAGCUUGCCAGAUUAGCUUUUAUAAAUGAUAAAAUCGAUGUUGUCAAAAAUCAACGUAAAAAGAUCAGAUAAAAAAUCGUUUUUAGGUAAAAAGGACGAUUUAAAAAAAUAGCUCAUUUCUUAUGAACAUUUUGAGAGAAUAAUUAAUGUUUUUCAAUCAAAACGAUGAAGUCAAACAUCGAACCAGAAAGAUCGGAUGGAGAAAAUCGAUUCUUAUCGUUUUUUUAAAAAAAUUACAUCGACGUCACCCAUUCGUAAAUUCUGGCGGUAUUUCUUUUAUUUUGUAUAGUAAUUUGUAAGAUCUGUUGCCGAGAGUAGCAAUCGGCGUAAUUAUAAUUGAUAAAAAGUAACAAAUUUGAUUCACUGUCAAUCCUAGCAAAUUCAGAAACCAGUUAAUUGUUUUGACGUAGGACUACGUCUUUGUUUUCGAUAUGGGAGUGCACUCUGCAAAUUCUACAAAAAUGGUAUGUAACGAAAAGUGGUCCAAUUUUAAACGCAUAUAUUUCAGCCAUCUCACGAUAAAUUUUCAAAUUUUUUACGCAGAGCGCCCCGAAAUACUUCUAAGAAUAGAUUCCAAUAGAUAAACCCAAAGAUUUUUGAUAUCAUAGCAUUAAAAAAUUAAAUAAUAUACAACCUUGUCAAAAUAUCGCGCAUUAACACACAGAAGAAAGCGCUUCCCAAGCCCUGUACGACGGAUUGGUGUACUUAGCGCGCAACGCUGCUAUGAAUGACGUCAUCAUCGACUAUUUAAAGAACGGACUUGGCCAGACACGCUCAAUUCCCUGUUGAACGGCUGGCGAAGCAGAUCACUGCGCUGUGUUUUUUACAGCCAGUGUAGCUGAGCUAGAAGUCCGUUACACUGGCUGUGGGGGGACGCUACACUGUGUCGUCCAACAGGCGACCGCUCCAACUGCUUCCUAAAUGCCGUUGUAAUGUUGCCAGUAAAUUUUUGGUUUAACUAGCACAUGUAUUUGCUAUUUGCGCUUGAAAUUAAGUAAUGUAGUGGUAGUAAUAAGCUUCCCAUUUUGGUUUAAACGCAAGGACAGUUUUUAAAACAGGAUUUGAUUAAUUAGUUUAGCUUAUCUAAGCAAUUUUAUCAAUUCUGUAAUUUAAAAGGAAUUUUACGGAACUUGGUGAAUUUGGACCCACUUGCAACUGGUAUAAUCAACCUGCACAAAGUGUUGCAUAACGCAGGGCACAAAAUGUGUUAUCAUUCAGCCCUUCGCUAUGCAAAAUCACGAUAUUAUGACAUGGGCUAAGCGCGGCCGUUCCAUUCAAUCGGGAAAGGCCGCGUGGAAUUUUGGUGAAAUGCGCUAAUAGUGUCGUGGUGGUACUAGUUGUCUCUUUCGCUCUACCCAUCAUCAUCAGCAUUGACUCAUUUUGCAUUGUGCGCUUGAUUUCAAUGUUUGUGGCGAAUGUGUUGGUAGGUAGGGGAACUGGCGGUAAAAUGAAGACGUUAAGCAAAGUCAUUAUUUUCUAACUAAUAAGUGAAUGAGAUAAUACAAUCACCUUAUGUUUCUUGUUAGACAUGUUUUGUACAUAUCUGGUAAAAAUACUUUGUCAUAAACACAUUUUUUCAAACAUGAUUCUUGAUUUCUAAACAUGUCCAAAAAUGAGACAUGUUUAUAGCGAGUGGGUAAAAUGAACAUAUGGCGGUGGUAAAAUGAACAGCUUCUGGUGACCUGCAAAAUGUCCUGUAUGUAUGCAAUGCGCAGCGUUGGAAAGCAUUUUCCGAUCAAUACUAAUAUUCCAGCAAAUCAUGAGCUUUGCAUACACACAGGGCAUUUUGCAGGCAAAAAAAAUGUCACGGAAGAAUUGAAUUUUCAUGACGUAAUAUUAAAGUUGGACAGCGAAAGGGUAAAAUUCGCAAACGAAAAAAGCAGUUUUUUUCCACGCCGUAUGUCAGAUCUUCAUAAAAAUCAAUCAGCAGUACUGUAACAACAUUCUACAUACGCUGAUUGAUUUUUAUGAAGAUCUGACAUACGGCGUGGAAUAAAAAACUGCUUUUUUCGUUUUCGAAUUUUGCGCAUUCUCUGUCCAACCUUAACCAUUUUACAAUCCUGUGGCAUCGAAACACAUCUACAAACUUGGGGUUAUCCAUGGGUGUUUGAACUUUUAGGAUCUGUUUGAGAGCAACUAGGAAGCUUGUUCUAUACAUGAGAUGUGAUUAUAUUGUCUAAAAUUUGAUUUUUCUUCACCAGUCCGGGUGUUUUUUCUAACACACUAAGUACUAAGAAAAUAAAUAUUUUACAUUAAGUAGUAUAGUCCUACGUCUACAGUUCGUGCAACCCCAUAGGGCUGCCCCUUGUAGUUUUUCUUAACGAUGAGGCACAUGCGUAGAGAUUUUGCGAGCUAAGUACCUAAAAAGGAUACGCGCGUCAGGAUAGAGGAAGAAAGCAGAAUAGGCAAACCUUAAUUGCAUAGGAGAAAGGGACUUCAUCCGCUGACUCAUAUAGACGCCGAAAGAAGGGAUAAAGAUAGGGAUUCUACUCGCCCGCACCAAGUAGUUGCCAAAAGAGGAAGGGAAUAGAUAAUCCGCCUGCCCGUAUAUUGCACGUAGGUAGUCUAGCACCAAGCGACGCUAUGGAAAGUUUCAGCAGUGGAAAGUUUCCACUAUGAAUUGUGUACCUAGAUUAUAAGAAAUUUGUAUAUAUAUCCCGUAGGAAUAAGGAAAUACAUCUGCAUUCGCUAGCAACCAUCAGUUCAGCAGUCGAAAGUCCGAACUAGUCGUCGUGUGAUUUUGGAAAAAGAGAGCAAAAAAUGGAUAUGUAUGACAGUUUUUCCGAUGAAGAUGUUCAUGAUGUUCAAAAGGAUAGUUUCCGCGAAGUGGAGUACCUAAAUUCGACAAGUUCGGAGAAUGAAUCUGAAGCCUCGCAGCAGCCAACUAGAAAGCGACGAAGGAUCGAUAAGGCGGGAGAGCUUGAUACUGCUUUUGUUUCUUUGUUGGCUGAAUUUGCACCGGUGUUGCUGGAAAAGUCACAGACUCCAUCUAUGAAGGCAAAAAAAGGGGCAGCUUUGAAAAAAUUAUCCAACGAGCUUGUUCUUCGGUAUGGAUUGGAAUUAACAGACAAACAAAUUUAUGAAAAGGUACACAAUUUGAAAAAUCGCGUGAAGUCAAAAACAGAUCUAAAGAAAACAGGAAACAAGAAAAUUAUGUUGAAUGAUGCGGAGCAGAAGUUUUACGAAUUAUUGGGCGGUACCGACAAUCCAGCUAUAUCGAAAAGAUCAUAUUUCUAUUGGAACAGACGAUUCACAAGAAGCAGGACCUUCCAAUGAACCACUACCCAGUUCUGCUAGCACUUCAACGCCCGUGGUCACGCCGAGUACAUCUCGUGCGACGCGUACAAGCACACCACGGGUAAGAAAAUUCUAUUGGAACAGACGAUUCACAAGAAGCAGGACCUUCCAAUGAACCACUACCCAGUUCUGCUAGCACUUCAACGCCCGUGGUCACGCCGAGUACAUCUCGUGCGACGCGUACAAGCACACCACGGGUAAGAAAAUAUUUCCCAUACAUUUUGAUAUUCUUUUAAAGCCUAACGAAAAAAAGUAUUAGUUGAAAAUAACAGUAGCAAAUAACUUUAUCAAACUAUUUCACUUUUCACUUCUUCCAGAUAUCGCAAAGUGAAUUGAUAGAGCUGCAAAACACGGUACUGCGAGAGCAGCUGAGUUUAAUUCGCACACAGGACAAUUUAAUUCGUCAACAGCAAGAAUUGAACAUUCAACAACAAAGUGAGCGGCAUGCGGAAGAAAUAAAACUGCUGAAAAUGAAGCAAGAAAUUGCUUCUCUAAAGUUGAGUUUGCUGAAAAACGGAGAGCCAAGCGAUAACUAGUGAUUUCAGAUAUAUAA